rnacentral:rRNA from 1 species
UACGUAGGGGGGCAAGCGUUGUCCGGAAUUAUUGGGCGUGAAAGAGCAGUGUAGCGGUCCGGUAAGUCGAGCUGUGAAGACAAGGGCUCAACCCUUGAAUGCCGGUUGAUACUGUCGGGCUAGAGUCCGGAAGAGGCGAGUGGAAUUCCCGGUGUAGCGGUCGAAAUGCGUAGAUAUCGAGAGGAACACCUGCGGCGAAGGCGGGUUGCUGGGCUGACACUGACGCUGAUGUGCGAAAGCUAGGGGAGCGAACGGG